ensembl:snoRNA LOC120093954 small nucleolar RNA SNORA4
CUAGCCACAGCUGGCUGAGUGAGUAAGACCACACACCACAGUGGACUAUGCCACUUAGCAUGGUUCAUUACUAUAUUGUGGCCUACAAU